rnacentral:rRNA from 1 species
GCUUAGGCCAUACCACCCUGAAUGCGCCCGGCUCUCGUUCUGAUCUCAGAAGCUAUGCAGGGUCAGGCCUGGUUAGUACUUGGAUGGGAGACCGCCUGGGAAUACCAGGUGCUGUAAACU